rnacentral:rRNA from 1 species
ACGGGAGGCAGCAGUGGGGGAUAUUGCACAAUGGGGGAAACCCUGAUGCAGCGACGCCGCGUGAGCGAAGAAGUAUUUCGGUAUGUAAAGCUCUAUCAGCAGGGAAGAAAAUGACGGUACCUGACUAAGAAGCUCCGGCUAAAUACGUGCCAGCAGCCGCGGUAAUACGUAUGGAGCAAGCGUUAUCCGGAUUUACUGGGUGUAAAGGGAGCGUAGACGGUUUGCCAAGUCUGAUGUGAAAGGUGGGGGCUCAACCCCCAAACUGCAUUGGAAACUGGUAGACUAGAGUGUCGGAGAGGUAAGUGGAAUUCCUAGUGUAGCGGUGAAAUGCGUAGAUAUUAGGAGGAACACCAGUGGCGAAGGCGGCUUACUGGACGAUAACUGACGUUGAGGCUCGAAAGCGUGGGGAGCGAACAGGAUUAGAUACCCUGGUA